AUACGGAGGAUGCAAGCGUUAUCCGGAUUUAUUGGGUUUAAAGGGUGCGUAGGCGGUUUGCUAAGCGGGAGGCGAAAUGCCGGCGCUCAACGUCGGAAGUGCCUCCCGAACUGGUGGACUUGAAUGACUCUGCCGUGGGAGGAAUGUGUAGUGUAGCGGUGAAAUGCUUAGAGAUUACACAGAACACCGAUUGCGAAGGCAUCUCACGAAGGGUUGAUUGACGCUGAGGCACGAAAGCGUGGGGAUCAAACAGGAUUAGAUACCCUGGUAGUCCACGCAGUAAACGAUGAUGGCUAACCGCUGGGCUUAUCAGUUCAGUGGCCAAGCGAAAGCGAUAAGCCAUCCACCUGGGGAGUACGACCGCAAGGUUGAAACUCAAAUGAAUUGACGGGG
rnacentral:rRNA from 1 species